AUGCUGGUCCACCUGACCCCACAUAAAAUCCUCCCCAUCCACUCGCCGGACCAAACUCUAGCCACUUCACUCCCCUCCACUCCACCAUCCAAAGCUCGUCUUUGGCUCCUUCCGGUCCUCUCCGGCAUGGCGGGCAGCGGAUCCGAGUCCUUCAUCUCUAGAUCCGUCGACCCUGAGCUCAUCCCGCGCGGCCCUGAGGAGGAGAUGGCCGUCUGGCUUGCGCUCCGCCACGCCCGGGAGGAGGCCCGUGGACGGCUGCGCUCGGACUUCAUUCGUCAGGAAUCCAUUGCUUCUGCCCAAAUGGGGCAUUGA
rnacentral:rRNA from 1 species